CCAGGCAGCCUUUUGUACAUAAGACAUUUGAAUGUUUGGCUUAUCCUAAUCUCCGGACUACACCUAUUUCAGGUGGCAGCAGUUGUUUACCAAAGCAGGCUGUGACUGUGCAUUGUCAGGCCCUAAUCAGAGCUGAGCUGCCCAGCAUGC